CUUGCUCGGCGACAGCGCCUAUCCACUGAUGCCGUGGCUGAUGACCACCCGUUUGCGGCACCUGCAUCUCCAGAAGAGCAGGCGUACAACCAGGCACACUCGCGCACCAGGGUCGUUGUCGAAAACGCCUGCGGUGUGAUGAAGCGUCGCUUCCCGGUGCUAAAGAUGGGGUUAUGUAUGCGUGACCCAAAGAGGCCGCUCCGUGUCAUACGUGCAUGCAUCAUCCUGCACAACGUGUGCAAGAUGGGAGAUGAUUUUGGGGGAUGGCUCGGCGGUGAAGGCACGCAAGAGGCCGCGGUAGGCGGUGACGACCAGGUGGCGCCUUCGACGAGGGCGGUGCAGCGGAGCGGCGUGCUG